rnacentral:rRNA from 1 species
GGAGCUAAGUCUUGUGCUCAAGAUUAAGCCUGCAUGUCUAAGUAUAAAUGGGAACAUUAAUACAGUGACAACUGCGAAUGGCUCAUUAAAUCAGUUAUAGUUUAUUUGAUCCAUAUCUACUUACUUGGAUAACCGUAAUAAUUUUAGAGCUAAUACAUGCCCAAAAGGGGUGACUAGUAGGGGAGGGGAGGGGGGCAAAAGAGGGGAAAAGUUUUUUUUUUACUUUUCCUUCCGCACCCCCCUUUUCUCCCGGGAAACCCUGUAUUUAUURGAUACAAAACCAUAUGGAGAAAAGCCUCUUUUCUCCGUUUUCUAGGUGAUUCAUAAUAACUUCACGAAUCGCACCAUGGCUUCCCCUUAGUCGGGGGGGGGCUGGCGAUGAUUCAUAUAAGUUUCUGCCCUAUCAACUUUCGAUGGUAAGGUAUUGGCUUACCAUGGUGACAACGGGUGACGGGGAAUUAGGGUUCGAUUCCGGAGAGGGAGCCUGAGAAACGGCUACCACUUCUACGGAGGGCAGCAGGCGCGCAAAUUACCCAAUCCUGACUCAGGGAGGUAGUGACGAACAAUAACGAUAUCUUGACCUUGGUCAAAUAAUUGGAAUGAGUACAAUUUAAACCCCUUAACGAAAGCCAUUGGAGGGCAAGUCUGGUGCCAGCAGCCGCGGUAAUUCCAGCUCCAAUAGCGUAUAUUAAAGUUGUUGCAGUUAAAAAGCUCGUAGUUGGACCUUUUGGGACCCAGACUUUAUCGUUCGGUCUUGGAGUACUUCUCAACGUCUUCUUCUUCCUCGUUUUUCUUUCGCCUCUCCUGGGGAAAGAAACAACUUUACCGUGAGAAAAUUAGAGUGUUCAAAGCAGGCUUAUUCCUUCCCUCCAAGAUGGGGGGAGGUAUAAAAUUAUUGCCDGAAUAAUGCAGCAUGGAAUAAUGGAAUAGGAUCCUGAUCUUAUUUUUAUUGGUUUUGAAGAUCAAGAUAAUGAUUAAUAGGGAUAGUUGGGGGCGUUAAUAUUUAGUUGUCAGAGGUGAAAUUCUUAGAUUUACUAAAGAUUAACUUCUGCGAAAGCAUUCGCCAAGGAUGUUUUCGUUAAUCAAGAACGAGAGUUAGGGGAUCGAAGACGAUCAGAUACCGUCGUAGUCUUAACAGUAAACUAUGCCGACUAGGGAUUGGUGGUUUUGUUACUAAAAGACGCCAUCAGCACCUUUACGAGAAAUCAAAGUUUUUGGGUUCCGGGGGGAGUAUGGUCGCAAGGGUGAAACUUAAAGGAAUUGACGGAAGGGCACAACCAGUGAACGGUUAG